rnacentral:rRNA from 1 species
AAACUUAAAGGAAGUUGACGGGGCCGCACAAGCGGUGGAUGAUGUGGUUAAUUCGAUGCAACGCGAAAACCUUACCCACCUUUGACAUGUACGGAAGCCUUUAGAGAUAGAGGCGUGCUCGAAAGAGAGCCGUAACACAGGUGCUGCAUGGCUGUCGUCAGCUCGUGUCGUGAGAUGUUGGGUUAAGUCCCGCAACGAGCGCAACCCUUGUCAUUAGUUGCUACAUUCAGUUGGGCACUCUAAUGAGACUGCCGGUGACAAGCCGGAGGAAGGUGGGGAUGACGUCAAGUCCUCAUGGCCCUUAUAGGUGGGGCUACACACGUCAUACAAUGGCUGGUACAAAGGGUUGCCAACCCGCGAGGGGGAGCUAAUCCCAUAAAGCCAGUCGUAGUCCGGAUCGUAGUCUGCAACUCGACUACGUGAAGUCGGAAUCGCUAGUAAUCGUGGAUCAGAAUGUCACGGUGAAUACGUUCCCGGGUCUU